rnacentral:lncRNA from 1 species
AUGCAUGUUCCUGCCCACUGCUGGACACCCCCCCACCCCCCACCCCAGCAUCAAGGAGGCCGGCAGCUGCUCUCCGAAUAUGGGAAGUGCCUCCUUUCCCUGCCCAGCCUCACAGGGCUGACUCCUGGUGGCAGGGGGUGUGGACGGAGCCCAGCAGGGACCCUCCUGGCAGUGGCACCACUCUGCUUUGCAAAACUGAAGAGUCUCUUGUGGAUCUACCUCUCUCUGGAGGCACAGGUGCUAAACGGGGUAUUAAAGGACCAUGAAGAUUUUCUCCAUCUCUUGUUGAUUAACAGAGCCGUGAUGGUAACAGCUCCCCCCAGUCCCAAGCCCUGGAUUCUACCCUGCAUGGUCCUGACGGCUUGUUCCAUCCACACCAAUAUUUUAAAAGAAAAGGCAGUGGGCUCCCAGACAAAGUUAAAAAGGGCACCACAUUUGACUGCACAUCCCAGAGCAGGUUGGCUUAACCAAGGCCUUCCAACCAGGAGGACUGACAGCAAGCAAAAGCCUCCCCGAGGACACGCACAGAGAUGGUGCAGUGGCUGCUCCGGAAAGAUUUCUGUUGACAUUGUUUUGAUCAUGUUUUCAGAUUCUGAAACACUGGCGGCGUUUGUU